CCUAGGCUGCCUUUCUCCACCCUAAUCACCGCCCCCUGCUUCUCUCAGCUUAGCCAUCCGAGGUGGGUGGGAAACGAGUAAGAGGGGCGGGGGAAAGAAAAACAUUCUCAAAAAAAAAAAAAAAAAAAAAAAAAUUAAAAAGAAAACAUCCCACUUGGCAGCGAGUGCGCGGGAAGUUCAGCGCGCGAGUUCCGGGCUUCCCGCCCGUCCGCAGAGGACUGCAGCCUGGCUUCUUCCAUGAAUGGAAGCAGGUGAGGACUUCACCAGAAGAAGAUGCUGAUGCCAUCCUGCCUGUACAGCCUGAAAAAGAACUGAAUGGAAAUGAGGAUACAGAGAAUUCAAAAAGGGGAGCCACGUGAGGACUAUGAGGAGGUAGCCAUCUACAAGACGAGAUGAGAGGCCUCAGAAGAAACCAAACCUAUAGACACCUUCAUCUUUGACUUCUGGCCUGGAAAACUGUGAGAAAUUUUCUAUUUUUUAAGCUACCCUGUCUGUGAUAUUUUACAGCUUUAGAAAACCUGGCAGCUUUAGAAAACAAGUACACUGCCCAUUACUGCAAAAAGUGUUUUGGAGAAAAACCUAAUUUUUGUGAGUCUGUGGCUUUCAGUGCUAUACUAGGGCAGUGACACCUUAGCUAAUAAACAUACCGAGAGAUUUUGAGGGAUAUAAAUA
rnacentral:lncRNA from 13 species